AUAAAGUGGAGUCCAGCAACCAUUCGGUUCAAACGGGGCGUAUUCCGAAAAGCCAUACGAGUAGGAGUUGU
rfam:Lunatimonas lonarensis strain AK24 S14_contig_84, whole genome shotgun sequence.